ensembl:lncRNA
GUUGGCUGUUGGAGGGUGAUUAGCAUGCAGGCGGACCUCUGCCUCGCAGAGACGGGGGGGCUGAACACUAAUCUGUGCCCUGGGGGGGGUCCUUUUGUCACAGACCUACUGAUAAAGUCCCCUGUGCUUCCAAUGCAGAGAGCUUUUUUUAUCACAAACAAGUCCAAUGCGUGCACACAGCCUGAUUUAUUAUAUAUAUAUAUGUGUGUAUUCUUGGCGUUGGGGAGGGAAUAAACGUCCGCAGCCUGAGAGGAGACUAUUUUUCUCUGUCGUUUUGUUGGCGGGCGCGGAGCACCUGCUGGCGAGCGCUGGGCCGCUUUUGUUCAGCGUGUUGAAAUGUGUCUGAGCGCCGUUAAUCUGACCAACAUUUACCUUCAUUCACUUCGAGUCAUCAGAGCCGACUUGUACUUCAAUGCGGAAUCAUUCAGCGACGAGCUCUUUUUGUCAUCAAUAGAUCGUGGCUCGAGUAGAUAAUUUAAGUCAUUUGUCAAGCAAAAUGCAAACAAUCUGCUUCUCAAAUGUGAAGAUUGGUGCUUUUUCUCCAUUUUUCUUUCAUUUCAAGGUCCAUUUGAGAGACAUCGUCUAUUAGUCAGAUGGCUUACAUCAGUAUGCAGCUUUACACCACUGCCAUUACUCACUCAGUGGACGGAGUUCACAGACCGGACGCUGGCCCGCUGCCCACACUGCAGGAAAGUCUCCUCCAUUGGCCAGAGGUACCCCCGAAGGCGGAGCAUGUGGUGUUUCCUCCUCUGCUUGCUGUUCAGUAUCUCUGCGGCGGGGCUGAUGGCGGGAACGUGGGCGAAGGCUCCGACCUACCAGGGGAUCUACGCCUCGUGGGCCGCGCUGCUGCUCCUGGUCCUCGUCACCUUGGCCCGGGCCUUCUACUGGGCCUGCAUGAGGGUCAGCCAGCCCCUCCAGAGCUUCACAUAGAGCCCCCCCCCCCCCCCUCAUCUCCCCGUGAUGCUCCUCUCAUUCCAAUCAGGCAGCAGGAACGAUUCCUUUUAAAGAAAGCAAAAACACACUAACAAAAAACAGUUUGUUCAUUUAAAUCCAGAAAGAGAAACUCCUCCCUGAUAUGUUUCUGGAGCUGGAGAUCUAUCGGUAUUUACGAUGAUGCAUAUUAGCCUAAUGUACGGUUUCUCUGUUCUAAUCCCGCGGCCAGUGUGGGGUUCGUUUUGCCUCCCCUCCCUCCCCCGCUCUCUCUGUCCAUUUCAGCUUUUGUCUGCGGUUCCGCUCUGGUAACCUCUCAAGUCUUACGCGAGUGAGUUUUUUUGCUCUCGACUGCAGUUUAGUGUCUCAGCAUUCGAAAACGCUCAAACCGGAGAAACGAAUGGUUUUGUUAAAGCGCCGUUUUAACGAAUCGAUGCCGGCGGACGAUGUGCGGCCGGAGGCACGUCGGAUCAAGUCGGUGUUGAAGUGUGUCUGAAAAAUGUAAUUGGGCGGCACGUGAAGGUAGACAGCGAUGUUUUUAAACUGUGUUUUCUGCUGAAUUAUCCCGCCCCCCCCCCAGGACAGACUUUGAUCCAAAGCAGCUUGAAAGCCUUAAAAGGAGUUGUGGCAAAAGGAUUCUCUCACACACACACACACACACACACACACACAACAAAAGGAGGGCGCUGCAUCGGCCUGUCAGUGAUCCCAGCCUCCCCCUUCAAAGACAGACCUGCAAAGCCAUUUUCUCCAUUUCGAUCUCCUUAUUUCAGUGGGGGGGGGAGUGACACGCACGGCGAUUGAAAAUGGGGGAAUGUUUGUUCUGGUCGCGUAACCGCGUCUGUCAUCCAGAACCACAGCCGACUUUGGUUUGAAACCCUUCCGCGUGUCUAUAUGGUUUUAACUCUGGAACCGACCAAAAUGUGAAAGCCAGCGCGGAGCCGCGUUGACGCUUUGAUAUCUGCCGCCUCGUACCCGCAGACAACCGCGAGUACAGGACGUCGUUUGGAAUUGCUUUCUGUUGUUUGGUUGUAAGCUUUCAUCCCCUCAAACCGCGCUUACAGAUUUGUCGUGGGAGAACACUAAGCUGAAUUUUAAAAGGCCCGUUUGUACGUCUUUGCCGGGCCGGGGUUUAAUCUGUGAAAGCAAAACAACAGUGAGCUUAAAAAUAAAGAACUACGGGCUUCUUUAGCUCCAGAU